UGAAAAGGACCGAGGUCGGCUAAGUGCGCAACAUCUUGUUGCAACGCCGACAUUAGCACGUCGUGUGCG
rfam:Bacilli bacterium VT-13-104 contig021, whole genome shotgun sequence.